UAUAAAUAUGCAUUAAAUUUAGGUUGUAUGUUGAUGAAUUGUGUUUGAAAUCAUUCAUUUCUCAUUCUUUAGAAGUCAAGACAAAUAGAAUUGUUAAUUAAAGCACUUCUGACAACUCACUGCUGCAGAAAUGCAAAUAUUCCCAGUUGAAAUGGCAAGUAAUUUGAAAAGAUUAGUGUAAUUUUAACUGCAUGGGGGAAAAAAUGCUAAUAAGUUAACUACAGGGGAUUAACUAACUAAUACAGGGGGAAGAAACCUAGACAUUUCAUGUUUUUUUUUAACAGUAAAAUACUGUUAAAUGUACAGUUUUUAAAAGUUAUGCACAUUUGGGUUUCAUGUUACAUUUUCUUUUGUUUAAAGUGCCCCUAUUAUGCCUUUUUUAAGGUUCGUAAUAUUGUUUUGGGAGUCUCCUACAACAGGUUUUAAUGCAUGCAAGGUCAAAAAACACUUUUGUUUUCUCAUAAUAUACAUUUAAUUUCACCUCAGUUCUCAAUGUUUCAUAAACAAUUUGUUUGAAGCAGUUCAAAGAAUCAGUCUCUCUAAACCCUCCUUUCCGUGAACCUACACAGCUCUGAUUGGUCAGAUGGCCCAGUCUUAUGUCAUUGGUCUACUGCAUGCAACACGCGCCCAUUGUCAUAACUGAAUGACAGCUAUCAAUUCAAUUGACAGGCAUGGCGGCCAUCUUGGCUGAGGGUUCAGGCGUGGCGGCCAUGACAGGACGAGACUUUGGAGUGGCGGCCAUGACGGGACGGGACGAGACUCUGGAAUGGCGGCCAUGACGGGACGAGACUCUGGAACGGCGGCCAUGACGGGACGAGAUUCUGGAAUGGCGGCCAUGACGGGAUGAGACUCUGGAAUGGCGGCCAUGACGGAAUGAGACUCUGGAACGGCGGCCAUGAAGGGACGAGACUGGUGACUUUCUCUCAAUAGAACCGAUGCUGUGAUGGUUAAGCUGUGGCCUCUCUCAGUCAGGAUCUUCAUGAGGUAGUCAGUCAGGUCAUGGCCAGUCUCACGUAGCCAGACCUUCAGACUGAUGGCAGAAGGUCUGGACUCUAUCACAGCUUUCACUGGACAAGGACUGCCCAAGAGGAUAUUUGACUCUCAUGUAAAGCAACCAAUCACAGUUUGUUUUGUUUUGUGUCAUGUUUACAGGCGUGAAAAUGUAAAGUCAAUGUGCCUGCAAUAACAGACCAGCGUGCAUCUAUAAAUUAUUCAUACAAGAGCAUUGUGCACGAUUACUGCAACAACGGAGCCAGGAACUUCACAUACUUUUGAAAAUCCAGUGUUUAGUUGAUCCUGGUAAGCGCUUGGAAACACGAAGGCUUUCUUUUUCCGUGAGGGGGUUUAGCAUUGCGGCAUUUGUUUCCAGGUGAACCGAUAAAGAACGCGACACAUGUCUCCCGGACAUCCUGUAGAAUUUAACUAACCAGAUGACAACUUCGAUACUCCUGAAGUGUUUCCAGUUAAGUGUACCAUACGCAUCAGACAUUUAGCCAAUGGUCCGUGGGUGUGACGACUGAGGCUGAGACUAGGUCAUGGCCAGCCAAAUCCAGAUUUACUGCUGCUAGAUCAUUUAUGGUCAGUCGUACUGUAACAGUUUCUGUACUAGUGUAAUUCAGCUUUUGGAAAGAACUUCUUCAUAAUUCUUCACGUGGCUUCCUCUUUUACCACCAUUAUGGUUGUCAGUAUGUUAAAGGUAUGAAAUAGAUUUUAGUAGCAAUGUGCGUUGUUGGAUUUGCCGGUAUAAAUUGAAAUUGUUUGUAAACAUUUACAUGUUUUAUGUAUUGUAUAAGUAUGAGGUUACAUCUGCUUAUUUGUACUUAAAUGUUUUUUUUUUUUUUUUUAUUUGUAUCAGUGUGCAGAAAAGCGUGCCAAAACCACAAAUUCUCACAUGUUCUCAAGUUGUCAUUAUACAUCAUAAUAUACUGUAAUUAACAAAUUCCCCUCUCUCAAGAUUGCAUUCUCAGAUAUUAUGUGGAGGAAAUUAUGACAGGUGGAAAAACACUGAAGUGGUAAACAUGUUCCUAAUAUGGUAAAAGGACAGGGGCUUCAGCCUUGGAGAUUAGAGAUAAAGUCUCUGUGCACGUUGCUGGGUCGAAGUUGGAGGCAACAAAUGGUCAGGAUUUUGCCAUACCCUUCGGAAUUGUUAAACUGAAGAGAGUUGAAGAAGUGAAAGUAAUUUUUGAAGGAGAAGACCAGAAAAAAUCUUUAAUUGCAAGAUACUGUUCCCAUUUAUACACUGUUCCGAGCUGUAAACUCAAGAAAACACAUGGAGUCUCGCUGCAAGUUGAAGAAAGAAAUGUGUCCUUGAUUCUUCAAGAUGUCAACAUCUCCAGAUCGGGACAUUAUAAAUUACAAGCCUUCUGUGGAAAGGACGUGUGUGAGAUCACUGUCACACUUGUGGUCAACAGACCACCAUUGUCCAAUAGAGCACCACCUCACACCUCCAUCUCCACCUCCUCUGAACUUCAAGGGUUAUUAACAGCUGCAGCCAUCAUCAUCAUCAUCACCAUCAUCAUUUUUGCUUCUUCUGACCUUUUAAU